AUUAUGACCAUCAAGACAACAACCGUGAGUCUCAAAGACCUCCAGACGCCUGAAUGACAAGAUAGGUCAUCUGUCAGUACCCUGAUAAGAGGUUAAUGUAAACAGAGGAAGUUAGAUGUUUUCGAACAAACGAUUAAUGCUCUAUAAUGACACGCGUUGUAUGAAAUUCUACCAUCCACAGAGGAGAGGUGGACAGCUACUGAGGCUCUGUAGAAAUGAUGAAUGCACGUGUGCUGAAGAGAACUGCAGUAUGCAGAAGAAGGGCAAAAUCACCAAUGAUCAGCGCACAGCUAAAU